rnacentral:lncRNA from 1 species
GGGGCUGCUCCUGGGGGCCUCCACGGGCGAAGCGGAGCCGGGCAGGCCCUUAGGCCGCGCUUUGCCGCGGGAGCCGGUGCUCCCCCCGCCGCCGUUUGGCGGAGGGGGGGGGACGUGCCCCUGUUCCCGGGGCCGCCCCGGUGAGAGCCGCCUGCUCGGCCCUCCCGGCCCCGUUCUGCCGCCCCUUUCCACGCUGUUUACCCUCUCCCCGGCGUCCCCGGCAGCCCCAUAUUUUAUCACCGUUAGUUUCUAUUUUUAAUUGUCAUUUUUUUAUUUUUUUUGGAAAGAAGCGGAGGGAAAGGGGAGAGAGUUCCCCCCGCGACACCCCAGGCCAGCAGCCAGGGAUCCACCGGCCCGACCCGGGGCCGGGGUGGUUGCCCGGUGCCGGCCCGGGGGUGUCUCCGGGGCGCGGGGAAGGCGGCGGUGCCCGGCCCCGGCCCCGCUCCGCGCUGCCCGCCCUGGCGGCUCCCCCGCCGGCGGUCAAUGCGGCGCGAUCGGCCGAGCCAUCUCCAUCACCCGUUAUUGACACGUCCAGCGACUUGAAACUCAGAAAAAGCCACUUUGAUUGACUCGGGUGAUUGAUGGAGUGAUAGAGCUGUCAGACGGCGCGGCCCUCGCUCCCGGCCGGCCCGGCCACGGGUGUUUUGCUACCGAUUCCCAGGGCCGCCGUGCGCCAAGGCGUUUUGCACUUGCGCCUUUUAUUUCUUUUCCUCCCCUUUUCUUCGGGCAGACGAUUAUUUCUGCACGUCCUCCCCCGAAAGCUCCCAGCUCGGAAGGGGAGAAGGGCGAGGGGAGGCUCGGAUCGGCUCGGCCGCUCUCUUUGUUGUGCUCCGAGCUGCCCGCCGGCCCCGGCUGUUUCCUCCCCGGCUCCGGGGACGAGAGAGUUGCGGCGGUCGGAGGCGCCGGCACCCCGCUGCAAGGUGCCGCGGUAGAAGCGAUCCGCUCCCCGCGCCCUCUGCCCCUCCGCCGGCCGAGCAUGGGAGCAUCCCGCCGGGCCCCGUCCUUCUCCCCGCCGGCAGCCGCCGCCGAGCCGCGGGGAACCCCCCCUCUUUCUUCCCCCCCCCCCCCCCCCUCAUUCCGGGGAAAGGCUGCGCCGGGAGAGGAGCAUUCGGCCUACUCGGCGGCCGGGAGGCCUCGCCGGCUGCGGCUGCUGCUGGCGGGGGGCUACGGGCCCGGGGGCCGCCCGCCGUGCCCGGCAGCUGUCGGGGGAUUUUGGCAGAUCCCUUUCUCCAGGGCUGCCUCCCCUCUCCACUCCCCCAGGGCUGGGUCGGACCGGAGUGUAGAGAACCGGGGGUAGCCCCCCGACCGGGUGCUGUCCCCUGGAUGCGCCCCGUGGGGGGAACCGGGCUACUAUCCCCGGUGAGCCCUGUGGCACUUCACCUGGCCCCAUCUUGGCCUGGGGAUGGGGCGGAGGAGGGAGCACUGCCUUCGGCGGGGGUUCAUGGAGGGAGCUGCAGGGAGGGCCGGAGGUCCUCGGCAAGGAUCGGCCGCCGGAGAGCCCGGGUGGCGGCGGGGAUCCGGGGUGGUGGCGGAGAACGGCCCCCCUGGGGCUGGGCCGGCUUUGCAGAGGGGUCUGUUGCCCCCUCGAAAGAGACCGGGGCAGCCCCCGGGCUGGGUGCUGCUGCCGGCGGCUCCCCGGUGCCAGGCCGCGGGGACCCUCGCCCCCCGCACUGCCCGGCCGAGCCGCCGCCCGGACGGCGGGUCCUGGGCCCGGGUUGGGCGGAGGGAAACGCGGCUCGUCCCGGCGGAGCGGCGCCCCGACGUGUGUCGGGGCGGGGGGCGAGCGGGGCCGCCGCUCCCCUCCCUCGGCGGGGGGAUGCGAGGGGCGGCUCGGCCCCGGGCCUCCCCUCUCCUUCCCCGGGCUUCCCU